CAACCCUCAAGCUCUGCUUGGUAUUGGGUGCCGUCCCCCGGGGCGCACCUUAAAGACAGUGGCGGUGCCGUCCGGCUCCAAGCGUAGUAAUUCUUCUCGCUCGGGAACCCGGUCGCGUGCUUGCCAGCAACCCCCAAUUUUUUAA
rnacentral:misc_RNA from 1 species